GAAAGAGGUGAUAGCGCGUGGAG
rnacentral:siRNA from 1 species